rnacentral:rRNA from 1 species
CUGCUGCCUUCCGUAGGAGUCUGGUCCGUGUCUCAGUACCAGUGUGGGGGACCUUCCUCUCAGAACCCCUACGCAUCGUCGCCUCGGUGGGCCGUUACCCCGCCUACUGCCUAAUGCGCCGCAUGCCCAUCCCUGUCCGGCCGAAGCCUUUCCUGCCUCCGGGAUGCCCCGGUGGCAUGUACGCGGGUUUAGCCCGCCUUUCGGCGGGUUGUCCCCCUGACAGGGGCAGGUUGCAUACGUGUUACUCACCCGUGCGCCGGUCGCCGGCGGAAG